rnacentral:tRNA from 1 species
ACCAGUGUGGCGUAGUGGUUUGAGUGAUGGACUAGGACUCUGGAGACCAGGGUUCGAAUCCCAGCUCAACUG